rnacentral:rRNA from 1 species
UACGUAGGCAGCGAGCGUUGUUCGGAGUUACUGGGCGUAAAGGGUGUGUAGGCGGUUGUUUAAGUUUGGUGUGAAAUCUCCCCGGCUCAACUGGGAGGGUGCGCCGAAUACUGAAUGACUUCGAGUACGGGAGAGGUGAGUGGAAUUCCUGGUGUAGCGGUGAAAUGCGUAGAUAUCAGGAGGAACACCGGUGGUGUAGACGGCUCACUGGACCGUAACUGACGCUGAGACACGAAAGCGUGGGUAGCAAACAGG